GACAGCAGUCGCCGCGGUAAUACGGAGGGUGCAAGCGUUAAUCAGAAUUACUGGGCGUAAAGCGCACGCAGGCGGUCUGUCAAGUCAGAUGUGAAAUCCCCGGGCUUAACCUGGGAACUGCAUUUGAAACUGGCAGGCUAGAGUCUUGUAGAGGGGGGUAGAAUUCCAGGUGUAGCGGUGAAAUGCGUAGAGAUCUGGAGGAAUACCGGUGGCGAAGGCGGCCCCCUGGACAAAGACUGACGCUCAGGUGCGAAAGCGUGGGGAGCAAACAGGAUUAGAUACCCCUGUAGUCCCUGUCUCUUAUAC
rnacentral:rRNA from 1 species